GUCUAUUCGAGGUGCUGCAUGGCUGUCGUCAGCUCGUGUCGUGAGAUGUUGGGUUAAGUCCCGCAACGAGCGCAACCCUUGUCCUGUGUUGCCAUCAUUCAGUUGGGAACUCGCAGGAGACCGCCAGCGAUAAGUUGGAGGAAGGUGGGGAUGACGUCAAGUCCUCAUGGCCUUUAUGUCCAGGGCUACACACGUGCUACAAUGGACGGUACAAAGCGCAGCGAACCCGCGAGGGGGAGCCAAUCGCAAAAAACCGUUCUCAGUUCGGAUUGCAGGCUGCAACUCGCCUGCAUGAAGCUGGAAUCGCUAGUAAUGGCAGAUCAGCACGCUGCCGUGAAUACGUUCCCGGGCCUUGUACACACCGCCCGUCACAUCACGAAAGUGGAUUGUACUAGAAGUCUGCAGGCUGACCCGCAAGGGAGGCAGCGGCCCAAGGUAUGAUCCAUGAUUGGGGUGAAGUCGUAACAAG
rnacentral:rRNA from 1 species